AAGGCACGCAGGGCUCCUC
rnacentral:misc_RNA from 1 species